rnacentral:rRNA from 1 species
UUGAACGCUGGCGGCAUGCUUUACACAUGCAAGUCGAACGGCAGCACGGGGGCAACCCUGGUGGCGAGUGGCGAACGGGUGAGUAAUGCAUCGGAACGUACCCAGUCGUGGGGGAUAACGCAGCGAAAGUUGUGCUAAUACCGCAUACGACCUGAGGGUGAAAGCGGGGGACCGUAAGGCCUCGCGCGAUUGGAGCGGCCGAUGUCUGAUUAGCUAGUUGGUGGGGUAAAGGCCCACCAAGGCGACGAUCAGUAGCGGGGCUGAGAGGAUGAUCCGCCACACUGGGACUGAGACACGGCCCAGACUCCUACGGGAGGCAGCAGUGGGGAAUUUUGGACAAUGGGCGAAAGCCUGAUCCAGCCAUGCCGCGUGAGUGAAGAAGGCCUUCGGGUUGUAAAGCUCUUUCAGCCGGAAAGAAAUCGCGCAGGCUAAUACUCUGCGUGGAUGACGGUACCGGAAGAAGAAGCACCGGCUAACUACGU